rnacentral:lncRNA from 1 species
GAAGGACAGGAGGGGAAAGACGACGCAGAUGCUGAGCGGCCGCCGGGAGGUCACCCCGCGUCCGGCUGGGCGGGCCUGGGGCGCGGGGGCCGGCGUUGGCAUCUCCCGCCUCUGCGCGGGGCUGCAGGCGGAGCCCGAGGGUGCUGGGCUCCGGCAGGCGCUGCAGAGCAAGCCCGGGCAAGGGCCUUCCCGCGGCCGCCGGGGACAGCAGGACAGCCGCGAGGCCGGACCACCCCGGCCAUCCCCGCCACCCCAGAUUCCCCGCGUGCCCAGGCCGCGCCUCCCGCGCCGCGCCUCCCCGCGCCCCCGGACCUGGCGACGUCACUGCGGCUCUGACGCGCGCGAACGGAGGCGCGGGCGGAGGCGGCGCGGCGCGGGCAUCCUCCGGGAGGUCCCGGGCCCCGCAGCCCACGGCCGCGUCCUUGGCCCUCUUCCAGGGGCACCUCGAUUUUCCACACUCGGGAAGGCCGACUGUCCUUCGCUACAGAUAAGGACGCGAGCGCAGGAACCCGCGGUCUUGGCCAUAGGCGAUGCCACUUCCAAACCACCUCCGACAGCCCGGCAGACUUUGGCCGCGGAGCCCAAGAGGCGCAGCCCCUGCGGGGUUUAGGUGGGUUCCCGCGGCCUCCGAUCCCCAGGUGAAUCGGAUGUUUCCAAGCAUCGUCUCUGCUCAGCCCGCAGGCGUCAGAUAAGGACGCGUCUCCUGGAAUCCGGUCGGGGACCUGGCCGCGCGGUCCUCGGAAGGGAUGGAGCGGGAGCGGGGGCGGGGGCGGAGGCAGCGGGAGGGAUCCCGGGUCCCACCUGCAGAGCCGCGGGGCUGGACGCUUGUCCCGCGCGGCCGGCAGAGGGCGCUGCCGCACGCGCCUCGGGUCCACGGUCACCAGACCCCGAGGCGGGCGGGCCUCUGCCUGCAGACCCGGAGACUCAGAAUCCCGAAGCGGGAACCUGUCUUUCCAGGGAGCAGGCACCCCUCCGGCCCCUCCCCUCGGCUCUGGGCGUGCUUUUCCAGACCACCCUUCCCCAUAUUCUGUGCUCUGCCCAGUCCUUGCACCGCCACCGGUUGGGUCGCCUCUUGCUGAGAAGCAAGAACACUGGUCUCAUCCCAUUAAAAGGCCCAGGUGUUUACAAGUCAAA